ensembl:lncRNA
GACGCGUCGGGAGCGGCCCGGUUGCUCCUCCGGUAGCUUCAGGGCCGGCCGAGAGCCCUCUGCCAUGUGUGGUACUUUUAGAUCGUAUCGAGGACAGGAGAGAGGAAACGUGCUAAGAUCGCGGGCAGGACGACGGGCGCUGGGAGCGGUGCUGGCAGCGCCUUAUUUUCAUCGUCAUAGGGCGGAUCUGAAGGCAGUGUCUGUAACGGGCAGUUAAUGCUGCAUCUGUUUCUGGGGAAGAAUGUUCCAAACUAUUUUCUUUGGUGGGAGCGGUGCUGCUUUUACACACCGAGGGAUGAGUGCCAUCAUCAGAAGGAGUGAAUAAGAAGUGGAUUCACACUGCUGCUCACCUGCACCGUCAGUUACCCCCGCUGCAGGGCUGUGGGAACGUCGUGCUGCUUUAGAUAGUAAGUUGUGUUUCUAAUUCCUAAUUCUUACAUUUCUAU